rnacentral:lncRNA from 1 species
AGAAAAUUCAGGAAGGAAACAAAGCUUAAGGCAGUGAUUGAUAGGUUAUUUCUUGGACACAGCUGAACGUAUACUGUGCGCCUGCAACUUUCCGGUGGUUUCGGACCGGACUUCAGUGAAGCCAGUGAAGUCGGUCGACUUGCAGAACUUCCUUUCAGAGGGGCGUACACAGCACCGCGGCCGUGUGCCUGUGAUCUCCUUCUGAGUUUGAAAAAGAAGAUCCUAGACACCGAGCCAAAUAUGUUUGCAUAAACCGGGAGACUUGUGGCUCUAUUUUGUAACAGCUUGGCGCAGGGCAGCUGGUUUGGAGAUGUCUCUGUUCUUCCCUUGGUGGGGGUGCCGGAAAAAAUGUGCUGCCUGGGCGAUCGAGGUUGGGGCAAAAGCGUUGCAAAGGAAAAGGUGGGAGGACUCUACUUUCACAUUUCCCAAAAGAGUUUUACCAUAAGACUAUUUCUGGAUUGUUCUAACGUGAGGAUAUUGGGAGCAUUUUGAAAAUACUGGAGGAAAAGCUGUCACUGGGCGAUUUAAAUCCGUUCCUGUAAACAUCUGUCCAGGGCCUGAGCUCAGAAGGCAGAAUCCGUCGUGGAGCGUGUCCAACUCCUACCCCAAGAGCAGCCUCCAUGUUUACCCACGGACUGGGCUCACACACAGGCAGGCAGCUCCGAGCUCUGAGCACCUCAGCAUCCUUGGACUCUGAGCUAGCGUGGUCACAUGUCGGGGGGACAGAGUUCCCCAGCCCUUACCCUGCAGUCUUGCUUCUGAUAGGGAAACCUUGAGCUCGUAGUGACUGUGGGGCUGGCUCUCCAGGACAAGCCCCUCCAGUGGAGCCAGGAACCAGGAUGGAAGGUUGGGUUUGGGGGUGGACUG